rnacentral:tRNA from 1 species
CGCGGAUUAGAGUAGAGGUCAAACUCGCUGGGCUCAUAACCCAGAGUUGCGUAAGUGACACGUCAGGUUCGAUUCCUGCAUCCGCU